CACACACACACACACACACUUGUCGUGUGGUUUGGCCGUACAUCCCCCCUCUUCUCCGUCUAGUUAGGUACACAACUCGGAUUCAUAGUCGCUAUUUGCAGAAGAAAUACAGGGAAUAGAAGCUUCAAAUUGUCUCAAUGAUUUUCCAGCUUAUCGUGUGGCAGUAAAGCUUUUUGCUGCUCUGAAUGAUCUUCCAAGGGCUGUAAGAUAUUUCUCCAAGUUCAAGGAAGCAGGUUUCUCUCCGACAUAUGAUGUGUAUUUGGACAUGAUUAAAAUUUACAUGGUUUCUGGGAGGCUGGCCAAAUACAAACCUCUGUGUGAGAUCAAGUGUGCAUAUGACAGAAUGUGUAUGUGUGUGCUCUAUCUUUGCACAUGACAGCAUAUUUGCGCAUGCCUUUGUGUGCGGUGCAGAUGAUGUUUUACACUUGAUCUCUGAACAUUUGGCAAGUUGAUCAAUUGUUGACAAGCUAUGCUACAAUAUUCCUUUGUGUGAGCAUGAGUGUGUAUUUGCGCUUGUGUAUGCUGGGCCAGAAUGCAGAUGAUGGUUUACACUUGAUCUCUGAACUUCAGGUAGAUUCAAUUGUCGACAAGUUAUGUUUAUCCUUUGCACAUCUGUUCCUAACAAUCCUAUGUGUGAGCUGUGCGCGUUUGCACCAGCGCGUGUUAGUUCAGAUGAUGCUUUUUUUCUCUUUUUCUUGCCUUGUGAAUCAUAAACUGCCUCUUUGUUACUCGUUUAUCUUUUAGUAUUGCUGUUAUUAUUCCCUUGUUAUCGUCAAAGGUGAGUCGUGAACUUGUGCAAGUUUAGUGGGUUCUCACUGUUUAUUUGAUUGUUGAAGAUGUACGAAAUCAGGAAAGGGAGCUUUCAAAAUUCACUCUUUCCGCUGUGUAGAGAGGGGGAGAAAAGGUAAAAGAUGGUUUUGGUCGCUGUUAUUUUACACUAUGGGUCUUGCUAAUGAGUCUUCCAACAACUUUUUUGUCGUCGAGUUGGGUAUUCUCUGGUUGUUUCUUUAUUUUCCCCAGUGCCAUCCCUUUUAAACUUCAUCAAGAGCUAGAUACAAUUGCUAUCAUUGCUUCUUAGAACCUGUACCAAGGACCAUCCUUCGGUUGCAGACAACUUUCUUCCCUGCAUUGUGUUGGGCUGAGUUUCUGUGACUUCUGUUGGCUUAAGCUUUUAGUAUUUGGAGAGACAUCUAUAAGAAAGAACUCGUGUAACUAACGCUUGUUUUAAUCUCAGCGAGCUACUAGGCUUAUCCAACAGUGUAGGAGAUAGCUUGGUUUCGGUACUCAAGAAUUCACAUUGUUUUUCUGUAGUCCUUAGUUUGUUACCAUUGUUUUAGCUCGUGCUUUAAACUUAUGGUCAAUUUUUGACAGUAGAACUGGAUACUGAAUGAAGGAAGGUAGAUGUGAGUAACGGAAGAAUAUGAUAAAACGGACAGGGGAUUGGGAUGAUCUUUUGAUUGAGAGAUUUAUGCAUGAAGAGUAUGGAAGAUGGUUCUUUUCAAUUGCUGCUUAUGAUAACAUAGUGAGAGAACUGCAGGAAAUUUGAAAAGGGUCGGUUGAAAAAUCGGAUGAAAGCUCUCAAACAUAAUUUCAAUGUGUUAAAAUCUCUUCAAGGGUAUGAAUGGUGCUAUAUGAAGCCCCAACCUGAUUCCUAAAACGCUCUAAUAAGGGCGGAUUAUUUUAUCAUGGAAUGUGCAUCAGGCUUGAGAAUUUUGAAGCUGUAGAGUGUGUUUCUGACUGGUUUAGACAAUCUGGGCUCGGCUUCGUUUGCUUUACUCUUCUUCGGACACAUUUGGCAUGGUGCUCGAACCUUGUUUAGAGAUGUUUUUGUUUCUGCAUGCGGCGUGGCAGUAAGGAGGUCGAUAUGGUUUUUGCGAGGCUGGAAAAGAGUACGAGUGCAUGCAAGGAGGUCGAUAUAGCAGGACUGAAGCUAGAUGAAGAAACAAAGUCUCAAUUGUUGUUGCAAUU